rnacentral:lncRNA from 1 species
CCCAAUACACACACUCCCGCACGCUUACGCUCACAUCUGCCAAGUCUCAGGGGACAAUGCAGGGGAAAUCGAGGUGGCUGUGCCAAAGGAAGUCUGCUCCUCACCAAUGACAACAUGAAACAGAGGACAAGAUCCCUCUGAAGAUCCAGCAGCUGACAGAGGAGUGCCAUCAGGCUCAAGCCCACUGGCCACCAUCUUCCUCACGACAUUUUGGAGUUGAGGGACAGAAAUCACAAUGCAUCUCUCUGCAAUAAAGCCCUCAAGGAGAAGGCACAAGCUCAGGUGACCAGCUUCUCCCAGACCACUCCUAUUUAAUCAAGGUUAAGAAACCUGCUGCAGAUGGGAAUACGAGCCCCAACUAUAGGCUCACUCUCUCAGAGUUCCA